rnacentral:rRNA from 1 species
GCCACGGCUAACUACGUGCCAGCAGCCGCGGUAAUACGUAGGUGGCGAGCGUUAUCCGGAUUUACUGGGUGUAAAGGGCGUGUAGGCGGUCUUUCAAGUCGGAAGUGAAAAUUCAUGGCUCAACUGUGAACUUGCUUACGAAACUGGAGGACUUGAGUACUAGAGGGGAAGGCGGAAUUCCUAGUGUAGCGGUAAAAUGCGUAGAGAUUAGGAAGAAUACCAGUGGCGAAGGCGACUGUCUGGACAUUAACUGACGCUGAGGUACGAAAGCGUGGGGAGCAAACAGGAUCAGAUACCCUGGUAGUCCACGCUGUAAACGAUGAGUGCAAGGUGUUGGGGGUCAAACCCCGGUGCCGCCGUUAACACAGUAAGCACUCCGCCUGGGGAGUACGUACGCA